rnacentral:rRNA from 1 species
AUUGAACGCUGGCGGCAGGCCUAACACAUGCAAGUCGAACGGUAACAGGAAGCAGCUUGCUGCUUUGCUGACGAGUGGCGGACGGGUGAGUAAUGUCUGGGAAACUGCCCGAUGGAGGGGGAUAACUACUGGAAACGGUAGCUAAUACCGCAUAACGUCGCAAGACCAAAGAGGGGGACCUUAGGGCCUCUUGCCAUCGGAUGUGCCCAGAUGGGAUUAGCUAGUAGGUGGGGUAACGGCUCACCUAGGCGACGAUCCCUAGCUGGUCUGAGAGGAUGACCGGCCACACUGGAACUGAGACACGGUCCAGACUCCUACGGGAGGCAGCAGUGGGGAAUAUUGCACAAUGGGCGCAAGCCUGAUGCAGCCAUGCCGCGUGUAUGGAGAAGGCCUUCGGGUUGUAAAGUACUUUCAGCGGGGAGGAAGGGAGUAAAGUUAAUACCUUUGCUCAUUGACGUUACCCGCAGAAGAAGCACCGGCUAACUCCGUG